ACUCCUACGGGAGGCAGCAGUGGGGAAUAUUGCACAAUGGGCGGAAGCCUGAUGCAGCGACGCCGCGUGAGGGAUGACGGCCUUCGGGUUGUAAACCUCUUUCAGCAGGGACGAAGCGUAAGUGACGGUACCUGCAGAAGAAGCACCGGCUAACUACGUGCCAGCAGCCGCGGUAAUACGUAGGGUGCGAGCGUUGUCCGGAAUUACUGGGCGUAAAGAGCUCGUAGGCGGUUUGUCACGUCGUCUGUGAAAUCCUAGGGCUUAACCCUGGACGUGCAGGCGAUACGGCUGACUUGAGUACUACAGGGGAGACUGGAAUUUCUGGUGUAGCGGUGGAAUGCACAGAUAUCAGGAAGAACACCGAUGGCGAAGGCAGGUCUCUGGGUAGUAACUGACGCUGAGGAGCGAAAGCAUGGGUAGCGAACAGGAUUAGAUACCCUGGUAGCGACUG
rnacentral:rRNA from 1 species